UUGAACGCUGGCGGCAGGCCUAACACAUGCAAGUCGAACGGUAACAGGAAGAAGCUUGCUUCUUUGCUGACGAGUGGCGGACGGGUGAGUAAUGUCUGGGAAACUGCCUGAUGGAGGGGGAUAACUACUGGAAACGGUAGCUAAUACCGCAUAACGUCGCAAGACCAAAGAGGGGGACCUUCGGGCCUCUUGCCAUCGGAUGUGCCCAGAUGGGAUUAGCUAGUAGGUGGGGUAACGGCUCACCUAGGCGACGAUCCCCAGCUGGUCUGAGAGGAUGACCAGCCACACUGGAACUGAGACACGGUCCAGACUCCUACGGGAGGCAGCAGUGGGGAAUAUUGCACAAUGGGCGCAAGCCUGAUGCAGCCAUGCCGCGUGUAUGAAGAAGGCCUUCGGGUUGUAAAGUACUUUCAGCGGGGAGGAAGGGAGUAAAGUUAAUACCUUUGCUCAUUGACGUUACCCGCAGAAGAAGCACCGGCUAACUCCGUG
rnacentral:rRNA from 1 species